UGGGGAAUCUUGCACAAUGGGGGAAACCCUGAUGCAGCGACGCCGCGUGAACGAUGAAGCCCUUCGGGGUGUAAAGUUCUUUCGACAGGAACGAUAAUGACGGUACCUGGAGAAGAAGCUGCGGCUAACUACGUGCCAGCAGCCGCGGUAAUACGUAGGCAGCGAGCGUUGUUCGGAGUUACUGGGCGUAAAGAGUGCGUAGGCGGCGAGCCAAGUUUGGUGUGAAAUCUCCCGGCUUAACCGGGAGGGUGCGCCGAAAACUGGUUGGCUGGAGUAUGGGAGAGGAAAGCGGAAUUCCUGGUGUAGCGGUGAAAUGCGUAGAUAUCAAGAGGAACACCUGAGGCGAAGGCGGGUUGCUGAGCCGACACUGACGCUGAUGCGCGAAAGCCAGGGGAGCAAACG
rnacentral:rRNA from 1 species